rnacentral:lncRNA from 1 species
AAUGCACAUUGAAUAUCUGUAAUAUGCGGCUGCCUUUUAGCCUCCGGAGAAGGACAGGGAUGUGACAACAAAGCGGAUGAUCAUGGUCAGCAGUGACCAAAGCUGAAUGGGGCGAAGCGGUCUCGGGGAGAACCAAUGGAAACCAGGCGUGCCCAGGAAGAUGGCCAGCCUGUCCUGCUUCUGUAAAGGAACAGCGGGCUGCCUUGGAACUGCAUCCACCCGAUGUGCUGCGAUGACUGGUUCUCGAAUGUCCAUUGGAUGCUCAUUGUCACAAUGGCUAUGAAUUGGUUUAACGGAGAGUAAGUACUGGAGUUCCCAUCAUGGCACAGAGGUUAAUGAAUCCGACUAGGAACCAUGGGGUUGCGGGUUCAAUCCCUGGCCUUGCUCAGUGGGUUAAGGAUCCAGCGUUGCCGUGAGCUGUGGCGUAGGUCGCAGAUGCGGCUCGGAUCUGGCCUUGCUACGGCUGUGGCGUAGGCCGGAGGCUACAGCUCCGAUCAGACCCCUAGGAUGGGAACCUCCAUAUGCUGCAGCAGCGGCCCUAGAAAAGGCAAAAAGAUAAAAAAUAAAUAAAUAAAUAAAUAACAGAGAGUAAGUGCAGUUGGACCUUGAGCUAGGUCCAAAGGACUGCAUAGAGCAUUAUGGGUUAUUUUUUAACUUAUCACAUUGAAGUAUAGUUGAUAUACAGUGUUGUGUUGAUUUCUUCUGUACAGCAAAGUGACUCAUAUGUAUAUAUUCUUUUUCAUAUUCUUCUCCAUCACGGUUUAUCAUAGGAUAUGGCAUAUACUUCCCUGUGCUCUACAGGAGGACUUUGUUGCUCACCCAUCCUAUAUAUAAUGAUUUGCAUCUUCUAAGCCCAAACCCCAAUCCAUCCCUCCCCCAUACCCCCUCCUCCUUGGCAACCGCAAGUCUUUUCUCUUGUCCAUUACAGGUUAUGUUGAAUGAAUGAAUGAAUGAAUGAAUGAAGAAAGGAAAGAAAAAGGAAGGCAGGGAGAGGAAAGGAAAGACGGAGGGAGGGAAGGAGAAAGAAAGAAAGAAUGGAGGGAAAAACAGAGGAGGGAGGGCCACCUGCUACAUCAGACAAGUCACGCAGUGUGUCACUAAGUAGCCCCGGUGCCCUGGGAGGGAGGGGGUCUUUACUUGUGUUUUGCAGGUGAGGGAAGCUGGGCUCAGACAUGAGACCACCUUGUUUGUAAAGGUGGAGCAGAGCCUUGAACUCAGCACCGGGUGACAGGCAAAGUCAUCCAUUUAAUUAGUGAGCUGCUACAGUCUAAAAACCUGGCCAGAAAAUUACCUCCCGUCUCUGAAUUUACUCCUGGAAAGGACACUUAAGUCAACCCACUGCUGCGGACUUUAAAGCUGAUACUAGGAUUUCCCCAGCCUGACCAUGACAGUGGCCACAUCUCUGCUGCUGCACCUCCAGGAUACAGGUCCUGCCCCUCUUCCCCCUCCCCCUGCCCCCAGCACACACAUCUAGAGCCCCAGAGUGUCCCAAGCAGCUCAGGCAUGGUCCUCUUGCCUUCUGGCCCAGCUGCCUCUCCAGGCCCACUGUCACUAAGUCACUUCGUGCCCUGGGCCCACAUUGGCUCUGUGGAUGCUCCAGUGCCUGAGCUGAGCAUGCAGGACCACAUUCAAAACAGGCCGAAAGGACCCUGGCCACUGCCUUCCCCAGGCUCAGAGAGCAAAACCACUUCCUCAUUCUCCUCCGGUCACAACCAACCAAAAAUCUCACGAAAUUGACUCCUGAGGGGUCUGCCCGGGCCUUUCCCAAACAGGCCCCGGCUUGUCUGAAUUCCAGAGUGGGAUCAACAAGAAUCCUCACCCUCCAAUUCAGUUUAGGAAACAAUUUCCUACUGAGUCUCUCCAAUAAGCUGCAGAAUAAUCCCAUGAACUUGGCAGGAAAAAUGUUCUUUCUCCUUUGCAAAUGGGGAGACGGAAGCGGAGAAGGUCAGAUGGGUGGAGGGGUCAGGCUGGACCCCUAUCUUCUGAGAGCACGGCUCCCCCUCCUCCUGUGUGGCCCCCCACCCCCCAUUCCCUCCUUGGAGGCUACUGGCCACAAGGAUGAGUCUGGAGGCACCUGCAUCCCAACCCUGGCUCCAGAGUAAGUUCCCUCAGCCUUGGUCUUUGUCUCCAAAACAAACGUAGGAAAUGUCUCUGUCUCUUAAGGCUCCUGUGAGGAGCAAAUGGAAGAAUUCCGACAAAGAACAAACCAUACUCAGCCCCUGACACACAGAAACUGCUUGCCAGCCAUCAGCUGUUCACAAGGAUGGGUCAGAGGCAGUGACGCCCCCCCAACCGAAACAUCCAGUUUUGAACAGCCAUUCACCCUCCACUGGAGAAAAUGCUCCAUGCGUGACCUCAAGUGACAUGAUCGCUAUAAAAUGGAUAUAAAAAUACAUCUUUCUAGAAAGGAUUAAACAACAACAAGCGUGAUGACUUCUUUGGAAAUUCUGACAGGCAAACCAAUUCUGAUUGUCAUCACCAGCCGGGAGGCUUCUCUGCAAAGACAUUUUGGGACGAUUUUCUUAAGUAUGAAGAAGAAACAAAGACAACCCUGGUUGACGGAGCCCCCCAGGAUGGGUCGAGCACAGGGCGAGCACCAGCCCCUCCAGGCCUCAGAGGGAACCUUUCCCUUCCGGAGGCUGCCAUCUCUCCCUCCGCAGGGCCCCCAGGCCAAGUGGAGAAACCAGAGUCCCAAAGUAUCCCCCUAAGUUGGCUGUGCCUGGCUGGCCACCUCUUUAGCAGACAACGGCGCCCUCUGCUGGCAGAAUAGAGACAUGGCUUUAAGGAGAAGGCGUCACGCCUUAGGCCUCGAGGCCUUUAAAGCGAACAACAAUAAGGCGUUUAAUGCUAAUAAUAGAAACAAUUACAGCGACCGUGAUGAUAACACACAGAGUAAUAGCAAGAAUGACGUUACAAGGAGGAGGAGGAGGAGGAAGAAUAGAGACAUUUAUGGAGGCUUUUACCUUAAUGCCCGGUCCCAAGCUAAGCAUUUUACAGACGUGAUCUCAUUUUGUCUUAAGUACUAGCAUUUUUUUGUCAACUUGCAGGAAAAUAACUGCAGUCCAGAGAGGUUAAUAAACUUGCCCCAGGGUGAAGAUGGAGCAUGAGUUAUACCCUCUGCCACUUCCCUGCCCUGUCUGACUGGCCUGCUUUACUGACAUCCCACUUAGAGCCCUGACCACGUGGUCAAUUUUGUCCCUUGUUUAUUUAGGCCGCUGGCAUGCUGGGUGCACUCAGGGCAGCAAGUGCGCAGUGGGACCCAAAAGCAAGGCCCCAGGUCGCCAAGGUUGCCAGAUUUAGCAAAGGAACAUAUAGGAUGCCCAGAUAAAACUGAAUUUCAGGUAAAUGACAAGUUUUUGGUUAUAAGCAGAGCCCAAAGUUUGCAUGGGACAUACUUAUGCUAAAUACACAGACAUACAUACCUGCAUACAUGUGUGUGGGUGUUGUUUAUCUAAAAUUCAAGCUGAAAUAGGUGUCCUGUAUUUCAUCUAGCCCCUCUCCCCAGAUUAGAUUUGGGUUGGAAUCUCUAUCCUAUCACUUCCUGGCUGUGUGAUCUGUGUCAUCUUGGGCCAAUUAUGUAACCUCUGAGUUUUAUUUUUUGUUUGUUUGUGUUUAUUUGUUUUGCCCUUUUUUAGGGCCGUACCCAUGGCAUGGAAGUUCCCCGGCUAGGAGUCCAAUCAGGGCUACAGCUGCAGGCCUACACCACAGCCACAGCAAGGCCAGAUUCGAGCCGCGUCUGUGGCCUACACCACAACUCACGACAAUGCCAGAUCCUUAACCCGCUGAGUGAGGCCAGGGAUCGAACCUGCGUCCUCGUGGAUCCUCGUCGGUUUGUUCCCUCUGAGCCACAAUGGGAACUCCUAACCUCUGAGUUUUAGAUGCUGCAUAAGAGAAAUAAUAUCUGCCUCCCAUUGCCAUCAUGAUAAUGUGAUCUCCUCCUACUAGAAAUUAAUUCCUGGACACCUCACAUAAUCUCUCAUAUCCUUGGUAUCCUCAGGAGCCAGGCGGGCCCAGGCUUGGUUCAUUCAGCAGACACACGUCAGGGCCCCGGGUCAGCUACUGCGUGAUCCUUUCAUGCUUCCCCCGCCGCUCACCCUGGCUCCCAACACCAUGACCUCACCGCAUUGUGUCUAAAGGCAAGAAGAAAGGGAAUUUCUAACCCAGCCAACUUUCCUUCGGAUCUCAUCGUUUAAAAUUGGGCCAAGAGAGGCUGAACAGCUGGCACUUUCAGCCUUACGAGUAGAAGACAGUCUCUUCAAAGAAAAGGCAAGAAAAACAGUCAUCAGUCAAGAGCAAACACAUCAUACUCGUUCUUGGCCAGGCAUUGUCCUAGCAGCGCUGUAGCUGUUCGUGCAUUUAACCCUCGUAAGAGAAGCAUAUUAACCCAUUUUAUAGAUGCCAAAAUUGAGGGGCAGGGGAGUCCAUGGGGGUCUGGUGGUUAUGACUCAGCAUUUUCCCCACUGUGGCCAGGUUCAAUCCCCGGUCUGGGAACUGAGAUCUCACAUCAAGCCACUGCAGCCACAGCCAACAAUUUAUAUAUUAAAACAAAACAAAACAAAAAAGUGAGGUCCAGAGAUGUUAAGGUUGCCACCUGACCAGACUGGCAAAAUAUCAAGGGGCAAUAUGGGGAUCUGAAUGCAGACAGCCACCACCAACAUCUGGGAGCCUGGCGUUCGACCCUCCUGCCUCUCAGCAGCAGGGCUGCCCGUGCUCUUGUGUCUCUCUUUCUUGAUGCUACGUGAGGCCUGGCACAGAAUGCCAUCCUAACGCCGCUGCUGAGGACAAGGGCUGGCUUCACCAGAGCCUCCUGGGAAGUAUCAAGGAUCAUUGGGACUCAGGCUUCCUCUCCCCGCUCCAUCUCUCCCACCCUGGUGUGUGAUGACAUCACGAGUUCUCUCCCACCCUGGUGUGUGAUGACAUCACGAGUUAUCCCCGCAAACACCUUAUUCCCAUGGAGAAGGAUGCAGGAUGAUGAGAAGGUGGGUGCCUGUGGAAUUCUCGCCUUGGGAUCUGGACCUUGUCCCUGCCUGCUUUGUUCUCAUGAGUUACUGAAAUGUGUGUUGAUGAUGAAACAAUUCGAUUACAGAAGGAAGGCCCAGGAAAUGCCAUAUGAAACACAUGCACUGUUCUUGAGACUUUAGGGGAGUUCCCAUUGUGGCUCAGAGGGGUAAGUGUCCAUGAGGAUGCGGGUUUGAUCCCUGGCCUGGCUCAGCGGGUUAAGGGAUCCAGCAUUGCCACAAGCUCUGGCAUAGGUCACAGAUGUGCCUCGGAUCUGGCGUUGCCGUGGCUGGGGCUGUGGUGUAGGCUGGCAGCUGUAGCUCCGAUUCAACACCUAACCUGGGAACUUCCAUAUGCCACCGGUAAGGCCCUAAAAAGAAAAAAAAAAUAGGCUUUGGGGUCUCAUUUCUGAAAACGAUUGUUUCAAUUAUUUUACUUAUUAUUUAUGUAUAUGUGUGUUUACUGUUCAUUAGCACUUAUGGAUAAUUCUUUUAAAUUAUUUUUAAAUGUAAAAAAAAUUUUUAAUUUUUAAAAAAUAUUUUGUGCAGUAUAGUUGACUUACAAUUUUGUAUUAGUUUCAAGUGCACAGCCAAGUAAAUCAGUUAUACAUAUAUUUUUCCCAUGUAGAUUAUUACAGAAUAUUGAGUGGAUCUCCCUGUGCUAUAUAGAGUAUUAUUAGCACUUAUUAAUGUGUAGUUUUAAUUGUUAUUGUUGUUUACAUGGGUUAAGUUUAUCAAUGCUUACUGCAUUAGAAAUUAAAAUGGAUACAUUUAUAAAACACUUCUUUUAACCCUCA